rnacentral:rRNA from 1 species
UGAAUUCAUCGAAUCUUUGAACGCACCUUGCGCUCCUUGGUAUUCCGAGGAGCAUGCCUGUUUGAGUGUCAUU